GGCACUGUGGCUUAGUUGGUAAAAGCACCUGUUCAGUAAAUAGGGGAGUCUGGGUUCAAAUCCCAGCAGUAUCU